AGAGCGAACGCUGGCGGCAGGCUUAACACAUGCAAGUCGAGCGGGCGUAGCAAUACGUCAGCGGCAGACGGGUGAGUAACGCGUGGGAACAUACCUUUUGGUUCGGAACAACACAGGGAAACUUGUGCUAAUACCGGAUAAGCCCUUACGGGGAAAGAUUUAUCGCCGAAAGAUUGGCCCGCGUCUGAUUAGCUAGUUGGUGAGGUAACGGCUCACCAAGGCGACGAUCAGUAGCUGGUCUGAGAGGAUGAUCAGCCACAUUGGGACUGAGACACGGCCCAAACUCCUACGGGAGGCAGCAGUGGGGAAUAUUGGACAAUGGGCGCAAGCCUGAUCCAGCCAUGCCGCGUGAGUGAUGAAGGCCCUAGGGUGUAAAGCUCUUUUGUGCGGGAAGAUAAUGACGGUACCGCAAGAAUAAGCCCCGGCUAACUUCGUGCCAGCAGCCGC
rnacentral:rRNA from 1 species